UACGAAGGGGGCUAGCGUUGCUCGGAAUCACUGGGCGUAAAGGGUGCGUAGGCGGGUCUUUAAGUCAGGGGUGAAAUCCUGGAGCUCAACUCCAGAACUGCCUUUGAUACUGAGGAUCUUGAGUUCGGGAGAGGUGAGUGGAACUGCGAGUGUAGAGGUGAAAUUCGUAGAUAUUCGCAAGAACACCAGUGGCGAAGGCGGACUACCUGGCCUAAUACUGACACUGAGGCACGAAAGCGUGGGGAGCAAACAGG
rnacentral:rRNA from 1 species